UGGCUCAGUUGGUAGAGCAUGGUGUUUGCAACGCCAGCGUUGUGGGUUCGUAUUCCCAC
rnacentral:tRNA from 1 species